rnacentral:tRNA from 1 species
GGUGAUGUAGCUCAAUGGAUAGAGCAACGGCGUGCGAAGCCGUCGAUGAGAGUUCGAUUCUCUCCAUUAUCU